rnacentral:rRNA from 1 species
GGGUUGUGAGGUUAAGCGACCAAGCGUACACGGUGGAUGCCCUGGCAGUCAGAGGCGAUGAAGGACGUGCUAAUCUGCGAAAAGCGCCGGUAAGGUGAUAUGAACCGUUAUAACCGGCGAUGUCCGAAUGGGGAAACCCAGUGUGACUCGUCACACUAUCAUUAACUGAAUCCAUAGGUUAAUGAGGCGAACCGGGGGAACUGAAACAUCUAAGUACCCCGAGGAAAAGAAAUCAACCGAGAUUCCCCCAGUAGCGGCGAGCGAACGGGGAGGAGCCCAGAGCCUGAAUCAGCAUGUGUGUUAGUGGAAGCGUCUGGAAAGGCGCGCGAUACAGGGUGAGAGCCCCGUACACAAAAGCGCACAUGUUGUGAGCUCGAUGAGUAGGGCGGGACACGUGGUAUCCUGUCUGAAUAUGGGGGGACCAUCCUCCAAGGCUAAAUACUCCUGACUGACCGAUAGUGAACCAGUACCGUGAGGGAAAGGCGAAAAGAACCCCGGCGAGGGGAGUGAAACAGAACCUGAAACCGUG